rnacentral:lncRNA from 1 species
CUUUAAGGAGGUGAUUAGCGUAGUGAGGUCACCAGGUGGGCCCUGAUGCAAUCUGGCAUCCUCCUAAGAGGACAUGAGGACACAGACACAUACAGAGGGACGAUCGUGUGAGGACACAGAGGAUGGCAUCUGCACGCCAAGGAGAGAGGCCUCAGGAGGAACCAGCCCUGCCCACACCUUGAUCUGGGACUUCCAGCCUCCAGGGUUGUGAGAGAGAAAUGUCUGUUGUUUAAGCCAUGCAGUCUAUGGUGCUUUGUUAUGGCAGCUCCAGCAAGCUAACCUGGGAUCUAAAAUGAUACUUAAACUGGUUCAGUCUGAUUCUUAAACUGGUUCAGUGGAGCUAGGCCAGGCUCCCUCUGAGCAGAUGUUGGUCCCUUUGCAGGCCUGCUGUGUGUGAUGAUUGCUAACCAGGUUAUGACAGUGAUCUUUAAGUAAG